rnacentral:snRNA from 1 species
CUGAUCAACUUUUUCAGCACAUUUACCGGAACUGGCCUGAGACAGAGAAGAUUAACAUGGCCCCUGCACAGGAUGACGGGCAAAUUCACGCAGCUUUCUACUCGCCG